rnacentral:lncRNA from 1 species
AAGCAAUUUGCUCAUAGCCAUAGCUUUCUUGUGAAAGUAGGAUAUUAACCCAGGUGUCUUGGUGCUGGAGAACAGAACUGGCCAGAGUCCAUCCUGUCUCCCACCGGCAUCCCAUUACGAAAUGAACACAGAAAAGGCAGGUCUGCAAUGCCAACAUCUAGUAUCUAUCCCAAAGACCAGGGAGAAAGGAAGGAAAGAUUCUGGUUCUGUCCUCUUCCCCAAGGCAAGGCUGGCUGCCCUACCAACAGAGGCAAAGAGAAGAGUGUGCAAGGCUGGCUGCCCUCCCAACAGAGGCAAAGAGGAGUGUGUGUUGAAAUAUCCAUUGAAUCCCUGAGACAACUGGAUCCUGGCCCAUUGAAUCAUAAACUCAUUUCAGAGAAGAUGAAACUGAUGUGCGUCAAAAAGCUGGUAGUCUGUCAAGGAAAUGAGCUGAACAUGUCUGUGUACAGCUUUUGUGCCAUCCCUGGAUGAGCGAGCUGUCUGCCUCUAUGUUCUCCACAAAAUGGAAUAUAGCUGUACACCCAAGCCAAGUUAUGGAGGCUGGGAAGACCUAGAAUGUGGCAUCACUAUUUGCUGAAAUUUUUAAUAUAAUGCCUCUUAGCCUGGUUUGGAGAAAACGUCACAGAGAGGCACCAUUUGUUGUGGUUUUACAUGAAAAUUUUCUGACCCUGAACCUGGUUUGAUGGAAAUCAUUUGCUGAGGUUAUUUAGAAAAUUGUUACCUCAAAAAUGACCUAGGGGUCCUUAGAAUAAUAACACACAGAAGAAUAGCCUCAUUUUUCUGUUGGGCCCAGGAAACCAUGCCGAUUACCGACCGAGCUCUCAAUGGAAAAAUGCAGUCGGCGUGAACCACGCACGAACACAGCAGAGAAAGAAGAAAACACACACCACGAGGAACCCUAAUAGGACAAUACAUUAUAAGUCACAGUGCUACGGAGAAACCCAGUAGCCACAUGGAAGCAGAGACCAUGCAUAUGCAUCUACUCCGCAGCUCUGUGAAUGUCAGCAGCUCCCACGGACUGGAGAUCCCGUGAGAUCCCGUGAGAUCUCACCCAUAGCCUCAUGGUACAUCCACUUGGUGUGCUGGGAGAGUCAGGAUGAGGACCUGAGAAGAACAGCAGCUUGAACCUGACUUCAUUUAACAGCCCACUGCCCUCUUGCCAAGAACCCAUCACAGACCUUCCCAGAAGAGAGGGAUGAGCCUCACCUAUGAAUAAGUCCUCAGAAACUCAAAUUUGAUUCUAAUGGAUUGUUUUCUCAGAAAGACUGAGCAUGUCCCCCCACAUCUCUGUCAUUUCCCACAGUAGUAACCUCUGCAGAUGCCACAUAGAAAACAAAACAAAACAAAAAAACAUGAGGUUGGUGGGCAGAUAGGCAGGGUAUAAACAAACAGCCUUGUAACCCAGAAGCUGUGUGAUAUACAGUAAACUUCACAACACUGAAAAGAUGUCCUAUCUGUUAAAAUGGGGUAAUAACAACUACCCGAAUGUUUAGGAAUAGAACUUCAAUAAAUGAUACAUUUUAUAGUACAGCAGACCAUCCUGUAAAGGUUUCAUCCUUCACUGUGGUGAUAAAUAUCCCAAACCACAUUGAAAAGCAUUGCAUCUACAUUUAUCUACACUGUAACUGUACUGUAAAUCAUGGGGGAGGGGAGAAUCAUAAAAACACCACCUGUCACCGUGUCAUUAAAGCAAGUUGGAAGUGAUACUUACAGAAACACAGCAAGAGCACCCCCAGUCACACAGUUCAAUCUCUUAGCAAGCGUUUUCUUUCUAGCCCAGUGGUUCUCAGUUUGGAAUUUUUGGCACUGCCUAGAGAUAGUUUUGUUGUUAAAACUGAGAAAAGAGCCGGGCGUGGUGGCACACGCCUUUAAUCCCAGCACUCAGGAGGCAGAGGCAGG